rnacentral:snRNA from 1 species
GUGCUCUCUUCGGCAGCACAUAUACUAAAAUUGAAACAAUACAGAGAAGAUUAGCAUGGCCCCUGCACAAGGAUGACAUGCAAAUUUGUGAAGCGUUUCAUCAAAAA